rnacentral:rRNA from 1 species
AUUGAACGCUGGCGGCAGGCCUAACACAUGCAAGUCGAGCGGCAGCAGGGUGCUUGCUCCCGCAUUCGGGGGCGGACGGGUGGGUAGUGCCUGGGUAUAUGGCAAGCUGCGGGUGAUUGGGUGCUAACGCGGGCGAUCAUACCCUAAUCGCCCAGAGGGCGUACGUGUGGAAUCAUCGGAUCUUCGGCCCUCGCAUGAGUGUAGGUCGGAUUAGCUAGUUGGUGGGGUAAAGGCGUACCAAGGCGCCGAUCCGUAACUGGUCUGAGAGGAUGAUCAGUCACACUGGAACUGAGACACGGUCCAGACUCCUACGGGAGGCAGCAGUGGGGAAUAUUGGACAAUGGGCGAAAGCCUGAUCCAGCCAUGCCGCGUGUGUGAAGAAGGUCUUCGGAUUGUAAAGCACUUUAGGUUGGAAGGAAGAGCAGUAAGUUAAUACCUUGCUGUUUUGACGGUACCAACAGAAUAAGCACCGGCUAACUUCGUG